UGAUACAACAGUGCAACCAACAGGGGCAUUCUUUUUUCAAGUCCCUUCCAGUGGUUGCUAACGAAUGGGAUGCCUCUGGCCAAAAUUAAGGCCAUGCAGCUGGUCAAACAAAGAUUCCUAGAUCUUGCCUUUAUCACCAUGAGAGACAAGUUUGACCUCAACAGCUGUUUACUGGAUCAAAAGGCCGUAAAGAGAACUGUAGCAGAGUGACUACAUAAAACUUGGAAGAACUGUGCCCUCUGAUCCAGCUGGGACUGGUAAAAGCUUGACCUGAAGACAGCGAAGUGCACAUGUCUUAUUCCUCAACUGCAUGUGUUAGUUUCUCCAGCAGCAGCGGCCAGUCUUCACCAAGUUGCCGGGGGUUCAGUUCCAUGGCA
rnacentral:misc_RNA from 1 species